rnacentral:rRNA from 1 species
GAUAAACGCUGGCGGCGUGCCUAACACAUGCAAGUCGAACGCCCUUACGCAAGUAAGGGAGUGGCGGACGGGUGAGGAACACGUGGGUGAUCUGCCUUGAGGUGAGGAAUACCGGCGAGAAAUCGCCGACAAUACCGCAUACGUUCGCAAGAACAAAGUCGCAAGACGCCUUGAGAUGAGCCUGCGUCCGAUUAGCUAGUUGGUGGGUAAAGACCUACCAAGGCAGCGAUCGGUAGCUGGUCUGAGAGGACGAUCAGCCACACUGGGAUUGAGAACGGCCCA